UGAGCGAUGGAGGGACGCAGGAGGCUGAGGAAUGCACACGAUCGGAAAUGUGUGUCCAAGCAGCAAGUCUGAGAACGAGUGAAAUGCUUUUUCUCUCAAGGACAAGUUGUGAUGGGGAGCGAAAUUUAGUAGCGAAGUUCCUGAUGUCACACUGCCAAGAAAAGCUUCUAGUGAGAAAGUAACUGCCCGUACCGCAAACCGACACAGGUAGUUGAGGAGAGAAUCCUAAGGUGUGCGAGAGAACUCUCGUUAAGGAACUCGGCAAAAUGACCCCGUAACUUCGGGAGAAGGGGUGCUGACCGCAAGGUCAGCCGCAGUGAAUAGGCCCAAGCGACUGUUUAUCAAAAACACAGGUCUCUGCAAAAUCGAAAGAUGACGUAUAGGGGCUGACACCUGCCCGGUGCUGGAAGGUUAAGAGGAGAGGUUAGCGCAAGCGAAGCUUUGAAUUGAAGCCCCAGUAAACGGCGGCCGUAACAAUAACGGUCCUAAGGUAGCGAAAUUCCUUGUCGGGUAAGUUCCGACCCGCACGAAAGGCGUAACGAUUUGGGCACUGUCUCAACGAGAGACUCGGUGAAAUUAUAGUACCAGUGAAGAUGCUGGUUACCCGCGACAGGACGGAAAGACCCCAUGGAGCUUUACUGCAGUUUGAUAUUGCGUGUUUGUAUCACAUGUACAGGAUAGGUAGGAGCCGAAGAUACCGGGACGCCAGUCUCGGAGGAGGCAACGGUGGGAUACUACCCUUGUGAUAUGACCACUCUAACCCGCUGCUCUUAGCGAGCAGGGAGACAGUGUCAGACGGGCAGUUUAACUGGGGCGGUCGCCUCCAAAAAUGUAACGGAGGCGCCCAAAGGUUCCCUCAGAAUGGUUGGAAAUCAUUCGUAGAGUGUAAAGGCAGAAGGGAGCUUGACUGCGAGACCUACAAGUCGAGCAGGGACGAAAGUCGGGCUUAGUGAUCCGGUGGUUCCGCAUGGAAGGGCCAUCGCUCAACGGAUAAAAGCUACCCUGGGGAUAACAGGCUUAUCUCCCCCAAGAGUUCACAUCGACGGGGAGGUUUGGCACCUCGAUGUCGGCUCAUCGCAUCCUGGGGCUGUAGUCGGUCCCAAGGGUUGGGUUGUUCGCCCAUUAAAGCGGUACGCGAGCUGGGUUCAGAACGUCGUGAGACAGUUCGGUCCCUAUCCGUCGCGGGCGUUGGAAAUUUGAGAGGAGCUGUCCUUAGUACGAGAGGACCGGGAUGGACACACCGCUGGUGUACCAGUUGUUCUGCCAAGAGCAUCGCUGGGUAGCUAUGUGUGGACGGGAUAAACGCUGAAAGCAUCUAAGCGUGAAGCCCCCCUCAAGAUGAGAUUUCCCAUCACUUUAAGUGAGUAAGACCCCUGAGAGAUGAUCAGGUAGAUAGGUUGGGAGUGGAAGUACAGCGAUGUAUGGAGCGGACCAAUACUAAUCGGUCGAGGACUUAACCU
rnacentral:rRNA from 1 species